UGGGGGAUAUUGCACAAUGGGCGAAAGCCUGAUGCAGCGACGCCGCGUGGGGGAUGAAGGCCUUCGGGUUGUAAACUUCUUUUGCUCUGAACAAGGCGCACCAUGGGGUGUGUUGAGUGUAGGGGUUGAUUAGCGCCGGCUAACUACGUGCCAGCAGCCGCGGUAAUACGUAGGGCGCGAGCGUUGUCCGGAAUUAUUGGGAGUAAAGGGCUUGUAGGUGGCUGGUUGCGUCUGUCGUGAAAGCUCAUGGCUUAACUGUGGGUUUGCGGUGGGUACGGGCUGGCUUGAGUGCAGUAGGGGAGGCUGGAAUUCCUGGUGUAGCGGUGGAAUGCGCAGAUAUCAGGAGGAAUACCGGUGGCGAAGGCGGGUCUCUGGGCUGUUACUGACACUGAGGAGCGAAAGCAUGGGGAGCGAACAGG
rnacentral:rRNA from 1 species